rnacentral:rRNA from 1 species
UACGUAGGGGGCAAGCGUUGUUCGGAAUUACUGGGCGUAAAGGGCGCGUAGGCGGCACGGCAAGUCAGGGGUGAAAGCCCUGGGCUCAACCCGGGAACUGCUUUUGAAACUGCCGAGCUAGAGCGCGGAAGGGGCAACUGGAAUUCCCAGUGUAGCGGUGAAAUGCGUAGAUAUCUGGAGGAACACCGGUGGCGAAGGCGGCAUCCUGGACCGGUAUUGACGCUGAGGCGCGAAAGCCAGGGGAGCAAACGGG